rnacentral:rRNA from 1 species
GUGGGGAAUAUUGCACAAUGGGCGAAAGCCUGAUGCAGCAACGCCGCGUGAGGGACGACGGCCUUCGGGUUGUAAACCUCUUUUAGUAGGGAAGAAGCGAAAGUGACGGUACCUACAGAAAAAGCACCGGCUAACUACGUGCCAGCAGCCGCGGUAAUACGUAGGGUGCAAGCGUUAUCCGGAAUUAUUGGGCGUAAAGAGCUCGUAGGCGGUCUGUCGCGUCUGCUGUGAAAACUGGAGGCUCAACCUCCAGCCUGCAGUGGGUACGGGCAGACUAGAGUGCGGUAGGGGAGAGUGGAAUUCCUGGUGUAGCGGUGGAAUGCGCAGAUAUCAGGAGGAACACCGAUGGCGAAGGCAGAUCUCUGGGCCGUAACUGACGCUGAGGAGCGAAAGUGUGGGGAGCAAACAGGAUUAGAUACCCUGGUAGUCC